rnacentral:rRNA from 1 species
UGAGGAAUCUUCCACAAUGGGCGAAAGCCUGAUGGAGCGACACCGCGUGAAGGAUGAAGGUCUAACGACUGUAAACUUCUUUUCUGAGGGAGCAUAAUGAGAGUACCUCAUGAAUAAGCACCGGCAAAACUCGUGCCAGCAGCCGCGGUAAUACGAGUGGUGCAAGCGUUACCCGGAAUUACUGGGUGUAAAGCGUUCGCAGGCGGAUAGAUAAGUCAGAGAUGAAAGACCGGAGCUCAACUCCGUGUUUGUGUUUGAAACUAUUUAUCUAGAAUUAGGGAGAGGUAAGCGGAAUUCUAAGUGUAGGGGUGCAAUCCGUAGAUACUUAGAAGAACACCAAAAGCGAAGGCAGCUUACUGGAACUAUAUUGACGCUAAGGAACGAAAGCGUGGGGAGCGAAAAGG